AGGAUUCCCCUAGUAACUGCGAGUGAAGCGGGAAAAGCUCAAAUUUAAAAUCUGGCAGUCUUUGAUUGUCCGAGUUGUAAUUUAGAGAAGCGCUGCCUGCGCCGGACUGUGUACAAGUCUCCUGGAAUGGAGCAUCAUGGAGGGUGAGAAUCCCGUAUAUGACACAGACUACCGGGGCUCAAGGUACGCUCUCAAAGAGUCGAGUUGUUUGGGAAUGCAGCUCAAAAUGGGUGGUAAAUUCCAUCUAAAGCUAAAUAUUGGCGAGAAACCGAUAGCGAACAAGUACCGUGAGGGAAAGAUGAAAAGAACUUUGGAAAGAGAGUUAAACAGUACGUGAAAUUGUUGAAAGGGAAACGCUUAAAGUCAGUCGCAUUGCUAGAAAUCACACUUGCUUUGGCUUGUGGCAUUUUUCUUAGUAAUGGGUCAGCAUCAGUUUUGAUUGUUGGAAAAGGGUUGAAGGAAUGUGGCAUCCUUGGAUGUGUUAUAGCCUUCAAUCACAUACAAUGGUUGAGACUGAGGAACUCGGCACUUGUUGCUUAGG
rnacentral:rRNA from 1 species